AUAGUGGCGACGGGUGAGUAACACGUGGGCAAUCUGCCCUGCACUCUGGGACAAGCCCUGGAAACGGGGUCUAAUACCGGAUACUGACCACCGCAGGCAUCUGUGGUGUUCGAAAGCUCCGGCGGUGCAGGAUGAGCCCGCGGCCUAUCAGCUUGUUGGUGAGGUAAUGGCUCACCAAGGCGACGACGGGUAGCCGGCCUGAGAGGGCGACCGGCCACACUGGGACUGAGACACGGCCCAGACUCCUACGGGAGGCAGCAGUGGGGAAUAUUGCACAAUGGGCGCAAGCCUGAUGCAGCGACGCCGCGUGAGGGAUGACGGCCUUCGGGUUGUAAACCUCUUUCAGCAGGGAAGAAGCGAAAGUGACGGUACCUGCAGAAGAAGCGCCGGCUAACUACGUGCCAGCAGCCGCGGUAAUACGUAGGGCGCGAGCGUUGUCCGGAAUUAUUGGGCGUAAAGAGCUCGUAGGCGGCUUGUCACGUCGGUUGUGAAAGCCCGGGGCUUAACCCCGGGUCUGCAGUCGAUACGGGCAGGCUAGAGUUCGGUAGGGGAGAUCGGAAUUCCUGGUGUAGCGGUGAAAUGCGCAGAUAUCAGGAGGAACACCGGUGGCGAAGGCGGAUCUCUGGGCCGAUACUGACGCUGAGGAGCGAAAGCGUGGGGAGCGAACAGGAUUAGAUACCCUGGUAGUCCACGCCGUAAACGGUGGGCACUAGGUGUGGGCAACAUUCCACGUUGUCCGUGCCGCAGCUAACGCAUUAAGUGCCCCGCCUGGGGAGUACGGCCGCAAGGCUAAACUCAAAGGAAUUGACGGGGGCCCGCACAGCGCGAGCAUGUGGCUAUCGACGCAACG
rnacentral:rRNA from 1 species